rnacentral:rRNA from 1 species
AAACCGGUGCUAAUACCGAAUAUUGAAACAUAAGUGGCAUCACUGAGUUUUGAAAGAAUUUCGGUGGAGGAUGACUUCGCGGCCUAUCAGCUAGUUGGUGAGGUAAUGGCUCACCAAGGCAACGACGGGUAGCCGGCCUGAGAGGGCGACCGGCCACACUGGGACUGAGACACGGCCCAGACUCCUACGGGAGGCAGCAGUGGGGAAUAUUGGGCAAUGGAGGAAACUCUGACCCAGCGACGCCGCGUGCGGGAUGAAGGCCUUCGGGUUGUAAACCGCUUUCAGUAGGGAAGAAGCGAAAGUGACGGUACCUACAAAAGAAGCACCGGCUAACUAUGUGCCAGCAGCCGCGGUAAUACAUAGGGUGCAAGCGUUGUCCGGAAUUAUUGGGCGUAAAGAGCUCGUAGGUCGUUUGUUACGUCGGAUGUGAAAACCUGAGGCUCAACCUCAGGCCUGCAUUCGAUACGGGCAAACUAGAGUUUGGUAGGGGAGACUGGAAUUCCUGGUGUAGCGGUGGAAUGCGCAGAUAUCAGGAGGAACACCAAUGGCGAAGGCAGGUCUCUGGGCCAAUACUGACACUGAGGAGCGAAAGUCUGGGGAGCGAACAGGAUUAGAUACCCUGGUAGUCCAGACCGUAAACGGUGGGCACUAGUUGUGGGAACCUUCCACGGUUUCUGCGACGCAGCUAACGCCAUUAAGUGCCCCGCCUGGGGAGUACGAUCGCAAGAUUAAAACUCAAAGGAAUUGA